CUCAAGCCCCAUCACCACCACCAGCAUCACCUUCACUGCCAUCCUCUUCAUCACAUUUUCCACUUACCUCUGACCACACAGAGGCAAGGCUGCAAAAUCCAAGCUCUGGCACCUCUCCUCUUUCACUCUGCACCCCCAAAUAGUCAUCUUCACAUCUGCUCGCUCACAAUCAGUGAGAUCGAUCAAAGCCCGACCCUGUGUCCUACUAGGCUGGCCAUACAUUCUCCUUUCUCGUUUGUCCGGAACAGUCCCGAUUCAUGCCUGUGGUCCCUGCUUCAUUAUUAAAAGCUCCCCUGUUUCACUCUCAACUGUGCCCUGGUGUGCAUGACACAUGAUGCAGUCACCUUCGUUGAGACCGCCUCCAGCUUCUGAGGUGGUCUCACCUCAGACCAGCAGCCCAAGGAUGCUAACCCAAAACAGAGCCUGGUGGGCUCCCUGAAAGGACAUGAUACCCCACCCCAGUCCGUGGUCAUUAACGGCUGUCCCUGCCUCCCCACCCAGGAAACCACUGAGAAAAGAGGAGAAUGGCACCAGUGUUGCUGAGUAUCCCAUGACCUCCUCACAGAGCAACAAAGGGGUGGAUGUGAACAGCGCCGUGGUGUGAGUCUGCAGAGCCCGGACCCGCUGGCCAGAGGGGUACAUUGGUGGCAUUAGUGGACCCGGGAAAGCAGGUGGACCCGAGCUGACACUGGGCUUGUCCAGGACUUCCGAAGGAGACACCAGCCUCCUCCCAGCCUUGCGCCCGGUCAGCUCGCGGGCAGGGCGGCGCAGACACCAGGCUGAGCCGGGCUCCCCUGCACGCAGCUCGCAGGGCCGGCGCCGCCACCCCGGGCUCCGCACGUCUCCUCCCUGUCUUGUGUUUGAUGUCCCGUCUUCCAGCCGCGCUCUGACAGAAGCAGGGAGUCUGUCUGUCCGCUGGGCUGGGGAGGCAUCCCGCUUUAGCCGAGAGAAAGUUGAUCCAGGGGCCACUCCCCUGCCAGAAAACCUCUCCUCCUCCCCAGCAAGCCUGACGCUUCUCCAUUCACCAUGCGUCCCAACAGAAGCCAUCAGCGCAGCCACGAGACGUCCCCUUCCAAAGGGACUUGGCUAGGUGGAUCCUGUCCACCUCACAGACCACCAAGUGUAGCUCUCUGGAGGGGAUUUGGGCCACGGUGAGACUUUCCCAUCCAGGUAAGCCUGAUAGAAAACAAGUCCCCUUUCAGGCUGAACCUUGGAAAUCCAUUGUCCCGGAGCCCUUGUGCCGUCAGCGGUCUGUGGUCCGUUGUGUUUCGGAGGGCAGAGGGGAGAAGGUGAGUUUGCUGAGACCCUAACCCGGAUCCCACCCCCAGGUCAGCAGGAACAGGCUGAGGACAGGCCCAGGCCCAGACCCUCUGAGAAAGGCUUCUUUCUUCCUUUCAGUUUUCCUUCGGCGUGAGGACCUGUUUUGGGUUUGGAUUUGGAUUUUGCUUUCCCUGCCUACGUUAGCAUGGGACACCACCACGAGUGGCCGUGGUCAGUCCCCCCAGCUGGCGGGCGCCCAUGCCUUCCACGCCCCCCCAGGGAUGCAGAGCCCGUGGCAAGAGGCCAGAGGGUGUGGGUCUGCAGCGAGACGCUUUCCCUCACGGCCUAUAGCCUCCUGCCAAGUCCCCUGCCUGUGCCCUGAGCAGAUACCCUGGCAGGACCCCCACUCUCAGCACAUGCCACUCUGGGAAGGCCCCUUCAGCCAGAGGGGAGAAUCCUGGCUAAGGGGUACUGGAGGGGUGGGCAGCCAGCCCGGAGAGGCACCCAGGGAGGCAGGGCACAGGCCCGCUUUGCACAAUCCCACCUUCCCUGACCCUGGCUCCAACCUGGGAGGUUUUACAACUAGCUAAAUCCUUCAGCCCCUGGCGAGGCUCCCUGUGAGGAACUCUGAUGACCACCCACCGUGCUCUGGGGCCAGUGUCCCCUUCCCUGGGGACACAGCCGGGGCUCUGGGAAAAGCUAACAUUUGUGCUAAAUUCCCCCAAAUCGUGUUUAUAAAGUCUUAUCGCUCAGUUAGUGAAAACCAAGAGAAGAACCCAGUUCUUA